AGAGAAACUGUAAAGGAUAAGGUUCCAGGGAGACCUCAUUAUGGCCUUUCAAUAAUUAAAGGGGUCUUGUCAUAUGAAAGAGAUGGAGAAGGACUCUUUACUCUGGUAGAUAAUUAUAGGACAAGGGGGAAUGCUCUUAAACUAAAAGAGGAUAGAUUUAGAUUAGACAUUAGGAGGAAAUUCUUCACUG